UUAUGGCCCGAUCGAAGCUGACUGCAGUGAUAUACUGUAUGUCAGUCAAAACGCGGCCAAAAUUAACAAUCUGUCGUUAUGGUCGCAUUGUUGUAUACUUUUACAACAGUGCAUUACCCACAAUUGAGACAAUU